AAAAAAGUUAUAAAAAAAAUGGGAACAUUCUCUGGCCAGAGUAUUGUGGGGACUUGGGAAGCAGGAAGUUUGAGUCCUGGGCGCAGGCCCUGGAGGGGCUGUAGCAGGGGAUUUCCCGCGUGCUGAGGCCAGGUCUGGUGCGGGAGAUCGUGGCUGCCUCCUUGUGGAAGCCAGGGGAACUGCGGAGGCCGAGGGCUGGUGGGGAAUCUGGCGGGCCGGGCUCUGGCUGGGGUGAGAUGGAGGCCAACCCCAGGUCCCGCCUCCCCAGACGCUGAGUCCCCGCGAGCUCUGGCACCUGGUGCAUCAGUGCUACGGCUCAGAGCUGGGCCUCACCAGUGAGGAUGAGGACUAUGUCUCCCCCUUGCAGCUGAACGGUCUGGGGUGAGUUGGAGGUCAAAGGAGGUUGAAGGGUUCGGGGGAGAACAGGACGGUCGGCGUGCAGAGUUCCUGGAGUGCUGGGGGGCCUGAGAUGGUUGUAUGACGUCUGGAGGAUUCAGGAGGGUGUAUGGGGUCUCAAGGACACAGCAGUCCCGCUUCCUCCCCUUUCCCACAGGACCCCCAAGGAAGUGGGAGAUGUGAUCGCCCUGAGCGACAUCACCUCCUCGGGGGCAGCUGACCGCAGCCAGGAGCCAAGCCCAGUGGGUUUGCGCCGUGGCCGUGUCACGCCCAACCUUUCCCGAGCCAGCAGCGACGCAGACCAUGGGGCAGAGGAGGACAAGGAGGAGCAGGUAGACAGCCAGCCAGACGCCUCCUCCAGCCAGACAGUGACCCCGGUGGCUGAACCCCCGAGCACAGAGCCCACCCAGCCUGACGGGCCCACCACCCUGGGCCCCUUGGAUCUGCUGCCCAGUGAGGAGCUAUUGACAGACACAAGUAACUCC
rnacentral:sRNA from 1 species